AAAUCCAAUUUCAUGCAUUCAAUUCUAAUUAUAUUCAAAAAUGAAAAUAUUAUUAUCAAAGAUUAAAAGAAAUAUCACGUCGUAGAGAAAACGGAUCGAACGCUCUUUUCUCUUUUCAUCGAACGCUAGGAGGCGGGUAUAUCUGGCCGGUAUAUACGAAGUGUUUGUCCCUGUCGAAUAAACAACGUCUUGACGUAAUAUAAGUCGAAGGAGAAGAGCCGUAAUGGCGGUGGAUAGUAAAGUCGCAUACCACCUCGCGUGGAAUACAUUUGCAGUAAGCGUGGUGGUACGAGGCAAGUAGCAACGGUGGUGCCCGACUGAUGACGACAUAAACAAACACGUGUCCCGAGAUGAGACCAUUUGUAAUGAGAAUGGCGGGCAACCGACACCGGCCGUUUAUAGCGUUACACUCCUAGGCGCCCAUUAUCGAAUCGACCUACGAAAGAAGUUGUUGUAAUUCACCCGUAUCCCCCUCCAUCCAAUGCCUUUUCACCAGCCACCAAUCGUAUAUUUUCCGCUCCAUCUUUAUCAUAUAUACCUCCCGUUUCUUCGUCGAAUAAACCACGCUCCCCGAGUUCUUCCAUCGAGUUCUUGCUCGCCUUGACGAGUCGAUCGUCAUUCCUCGCACGGUCGCGUCGUUAAUAAACGGGAACGGAAAAAGUCUCGAAGGUGUCGUGUUGAUGGCUAAAUCAAAGUGUAUUAAUAUAUCUCGGACUAAGAUAUACAACCACGUGUUUACUCGACGUCGGUGUUACUAUAUCUGGUCUGUGGCUGAUCUUUUCGAUGAUGGACAGGGAAUGCGGCUUCCGCCACCGAUUUGUUGGACGAGUGUUAUAUGGGUGGCAUUACGUCGACGGGUUUCCACGAGAAGAAAUUCGUAUUUGUAAACACGCCCGGUCGAAAUACGGUUGAAACGGGCGGAAUUUCAUUCACCUGACCGAGACGACACCUAUCGAGUUUAAGCUCGUUAGAGAAAGGGCAACAUGACGCAUCACGCGUCCCGUGGAGCGGAGAGCUACCAGACACCGAAACGUUAGAGGAGAGGAGAGGAGAGGAGAGGAGGAGAGGCCUAUCCUUCUACCUUUCAAAGGCGAUCCGCCGAACCAGGCCAGGUAUCAUCAGCCUCGGUGAGGUUGAACGUUGAUUGCCAGCUGUGUCGAUAAGAUCUGAUACAGACACUCGAGUUUCCAAAGGCUGCGAAAGGUCACGAACCCCUGCUUCGACUCGUGUGCAACUCGUGAUACUUUGCCGGAUCCGUUUCUUUCGUAUCUUUCUGCUUAACUUUCGUAGUCGAACACCGUUAGACGCCGUUUUAUUUCACCCAUAUAACCCCCUUCUCCGAGAGAUACAUCCGCGUAUGUACGGAUUUUUUAAGCACGGGCCAUACUCUGGUUGAUUUAAUGGAACGCGGCGCGAUUCGGUUUCUUCUUCGUUUAUUGUUUCGAUCGACAAUGAAAUUUACUUGAAAAUUAAAAUUCGAUCAGUGAGGAUAAUUUGAAAAGGUAAAUCUAACUCGAGAGAAUAAUUGUAUACGAUGAUACGAGGUAUAGUGAAAGUUUCUUUAGGAAUAUUUAUUUCUCUAAUAAGAAGAGUGAAAAGAAAAUAAAUAAAAAAUUAUGGUUUCAGAGGAAAUGGGGUAAUGUUUUAAGGUUAAGAUUGCUAACCUCAAAGUUUUGUUAAAGUUUUGUUAUAGAUAUGUAUAUAUUUGAUCGAAAUAUAAUAUAUAAAUUUGAGGUUAAGAUUAACCUCAACGUUUGGAUUUAAAGUUCCGUUAUACAUAUGUAUGUAUAUAUUUCAUCGAAAUUUCUUCGUUUUAAAUAAACAAUUAUUUUAGAAAAAAUGGGAUUCGCUUGCAAUAUUUUAAGCGUACGACAUAUAAAUUUGAGGUUAAGAUUGCUAACCUCAAUAUUUGGAUUUAAAGUUUUGUUAAAGUUUUGUUAUAGAUAUGUAUAUAUAUUUUGUUAUAGAUAUGUGUGUAUAUAUUUGAUGGAAAUUUCUUCGUUUUAAAUAAAAAAUUAUGGUUUUGGAGGAAAUGGGAUUUGCUUGCAACAUUUUAACUUGCUAUUGUAUAUAAUAUAUAGAUUUGAGGUUAAGAUUGCUAAUCUUAACAUUUGGAUUUAAAGUUUUAUUAAAGUUCUGUUAUAGAUAUGUAUAUAUUUGAUCGAAAUAUAAUAUAUAAAUUUGAGAUUAAGAUUGCUAACCUCAAAGUUUUGUUAAAGUUCUGUUAUAGAUAUGUAUGUGUGUAUAUAUUUGAUCGAAAUUUCUUCGUUUUAAAUAAAAAAUUAUGGUUUUAGAGGAAAUAGGAUUCGUAACAUUUUAAGUAUACGAUAUAUAAAUUUGAGAUUAAGAUUGUUAACCUCAAUAUUUGGAUUUAAAGUUUUGUUAAAGUUUUGUUAUAGAUAUGUAUAUAUAUUUUGUUAUAGAUAUGUGUGUAUAUAUUUGAUGGAAAUUUCUUCGUUUUAAAUAAAAAAUUAUGGUUUUGGAGGAAAUGGGAUUCGUAACAUUUUAAGUGUACGAUAUAUAAAUUUGAGGUUAAGAUUAUUAACCACAAUGUUUGGAUUUAAAGUUCUGUUAAAGUUCUGUUAUAAAUAUGUAUAUAUUUGAUCGAAAUAUAAUAUAUAAAUUUGAGAUUAAGAUUGCUAACCUCAAAGUUUUGUUAAAGUUCUGUUAUAGAUAUGUAUGUGUGUAUAUAUUUGAUCGAAAUUUCUUCGUUUUAAAUAAAAAAUUAUGGUUUUAGAGGAAAUAGGAUUCGUAACAUUUUAAGUAUACGAUAUAUAAAUUUGAGAUUAAGAUUGUUAACCUCAAUAUUUGGAUUUAAAGUUUUGUUAAAGUUUUGUUAUAGAUAUGUAUAUAUAUUUUGUUAUAGAUAUGUGUGUAUAUAUUUGAUGGAAAUUUCUUCGUUUUAAAUAAAAAAUUAUGGUUUUGGAGGAAAUGGGAUUCGUUUGCAACAUUUUAAUUUGCUAUUGUAUACAAUAUAUAGAUUUGAGGUUAAGAUUGCUAACCUCAACAUUUGGAUUUAACGUUUUGUUAAAGUUCUGUUAUAGAUAUGUAUAUAUUUGUUCGAAAUAUAAUAUAUAAAUUUGAGGUUAAGAUUGCUAACCUCAACGUUUGGAUUUAAAGUUCUAUUAUAGAUAUGUAUGUAUGGAUAUAUUUGAUCGAAAUUUCUUCGUUUUAAAUAAAAAAUUAUGGUUUUAGAGGAAAUGGGAUUCGUAACAUUUUAAGUGUACGAUAUAUAAAUUUGAGGUUAAGAUUGCUAACUUCAACGUUUGGAUUUAUUAAAGUUCUGUUAAAGUAUUAUAGCUACGUAUAUAUGUAUAUAUUUGAAAGUUUUACGUUUUGUUUAAUUUUCCUCUUUGUUGGAAUAUAAAGUAUAAAGAUCACACGUAUAUCAUUUUGUUCAUACAUGAAAAUAUAAUUUACAGUAGAAUAUACACUUGCUUAAUUACUGAGAAAAAUGAGAAAUUUGAAAUUCUCGAUGUAAAAAUUCACUUAAAAAGUUUGUUGUGCAAUAUUAUUUACGAUUAUUUGAAUCAGAUUGGAUAAAUGAUUUCUCUUCAGGAGAAAUUAAAUUAUUAUGAUGACGAAACAAUUAAAAAUGAAAUAAUUUUCAAAUGUGGAUGUUUCAGAAUACAAAUUUAUCAGGUAAGUUAGUAUACAUAUGUAAGUAAUCUCGUGUGCUUGGAUAAUUGGUUAUUUAAGUACCUAAAGUUUGGAAUAAUCAAUGUUUUACUGUAAUAAUAAAAUGUAAAGAUAAAAUGUUAUAGUAAUUAUGUAAUAUAACGAUAACAAUGGAAAGUUUAUAUCAAUGUAAAGUAUACUAUAAUAUAUAAUUUAAUGAGAUAUAAAAUUUUUUAAAAAUAUUCUAGAAAUGAAGUA
rnacentral:lncRNA from 1 species